rnacentral:piRNA from 1 species
UGCCAAAGGGUAGCAUCAGGAUGGUC